rnacentral:rRNA from 1 species
AGGCUCAGAUUGAACGCUGGCGGCAGGCCUAACACAUGCAAGUCGAGCGGUAGCACAGAGAGCUUGCUCUCGGGUGACGAGCGGCGGACGGGUGAGUAAUGUCUGGGAAACUGCCUGAUGGAGGGGGAUAACUACUGGAAACGGUAGCUAAUACCGCAUAACGUCGCAAGACCAAAGUGGGGGACCUUCGGGCCUCAUGCCAUCAGAUGUGCCCAGAUGGGAUUAGCUGGUAGGUGGGGUAACGGCUCACCUAGGCGACGAUCCCUAGCUGGUCUGAGAGGAUGACCAGCCACACUGGAACUGAGACACGGUCCAGACUCCUACGGGAGGCAGCAGUGGGGAAUAUUGCACAAUGGGCGCAAGCCUGAUGCAGCCAUGCCGCGUGUGUGAAGAAGGCCUUCGGGUUGUAAAGCACUUUCAGCGGGGAGGAAGGCGAUGAGGUUAAUAACCUCGUCGAUUGACGUUACCCGCAGAAGAAGCACCGGCUAACUCCGUGCCAGCAGCCGCGGUAAUACGGAGGGUGCAAGCGUUAAUCGGAAUUACUGGGCGUAAAGCGCACGCAGGCGGUCUGUCAAGUCGGAUGUGAAAUCCCCGGGCUCAACCUGGGAACUGCAUUCGAAACUGGCAGGCUAGAGUCUUGUAGAGGGGGGUAGAAUUCCAGGUGUAGCGGUGAAAUGCGUAGAGAUCUGGAGGAAUACCGGUGGCGAAGGCGGCCCCC